GUGGAUUAGAUACCCGGGUAGUCCACGCCGUAAACUAUGGAUGCUAGCUGUUAGAAGUAUCGACCCUUCUAGUAGCGAAGCUAACGCGUUAAGCAUCCCGCCUGUGGAGUACGGUCGCAAGACUAAAACAUAAAGGAAUUGACGGGGACCCGCACAAGCGGUGGAGCGUGUUGUUUAAUUCGAUGGUAAGCGAAGAACCUUACCCAGGCUUGACAUCCUGUGAAGGUCUCCGAAAGGAGACUGUGCCUUCGGGAAUACAGUGACAGGUGAUGCAUGGCCGUCGUCAACU
rnacentral:rRNA from 1 species